GACGAACGCUGGCGGCGUGCUUAACACAUGCAAGUCGAACGGAAAGGCCCUGCUUUUGUGGGGUGCUCGAGUGGCGAACGGGUGAGUAACACGUGAGUAACCUGCCCUUGACUUUGGGAUAACUUCAGGAAACUGGGGCUAAUACCGGAUAGGAGCUCCUGCUGCAUGGUGGGGGUUGGAAAGUUUCGGCGGUUGGGGAUGGACUCGCGGCUUAUCAGUUUGUUGGUGGGGUAGUGGCUUACCAAGGCUUUGACGGGUAGCCGGCCUGAGAGGGUGACCGGCCACAUUGGGACUGAGAUACGGCCCAGACUCGUACGGGAGGCAGCAGUGGGGAAUAUUGCACAAUGGGCGGAAGCCUGAUGCAGCAACGCCGCGUGCGGGAUGACGGCCUUCGGGUUGUAAACCGAUUUCGCCUGUGACGAAGCGUGAGUGACGGUAAUGGGUAAAGAAGCACCGGCUAACUACGUG
rnacentral:rRNA from 1 species